rnacentral:tRNA from 1 species
CUGUAGCGCAAUGGAUAGCGCGUUGGACUUCUAAUCUAAAGGUCGUAGGUUUGAAUCCCACCUGAAAUGG